rnacentral:rRNA from 1 species
AAUGAACGCUGGCGGCGUGCUUAACACAUGCAAGUCGAACGAGGCGGAGGGGGCAACCCCUCCAGUCGAGUGGCGGACGGGUGAGUAACACGUGGGUAACCUGCCCGGAAGUGGGGAACACCUCGGGGAAACUCGAGCUAAUACCGCAUGACAUCUUCGGGACGAAAGUCCUGACGAUCAAAGCGGGGCCGCAAGGCCUCGCGCUUCCGGAUGGGCCCGCGCCCGAUUAGCUAGUUGGCGAGGAACGGCUCACCAAGGACUUCGAUCGGUAACCGGCCUAAGAGGGCGAUCGGUCACACCGGAACUGAGACACGGUCCGGACUCCUACGGGAGGCAGCAGUGGGGAAUCUUGCGCAAUGGGCGAAAGCCUGACGCAGCAACGCCGCGU